CGCCUUAUACAUGCAAGUCGAACGAAGUAGCAAUACUUAGUGGCAGACGGGUGAGUAACAUGUGGGUAUCUUCCCUUUGGUGAGGAAUAACACGAGGAAACUUGUGCUAAUACCUCAUAAGUCUUUACAGAGAAAGCUUUAUGCGCCAAUGGAUGAGCCCGCACUUGAUUAGUUUGUUGGUGGGGUAAUGGCCUACCAAGACUGUGAUCAAUAGCUGAUCUGAGAGGAUGAUCAGCCACAUUGGGACUGAGACACGGCCCAAACUCCUACGGGAGGCAGCAGUAGGGAAUAUUGCACAAUGGAGGAAACUCUGAUGCAGCGAUGCCGCGUGAGUGAAGAAGGCCCUUGGGUUGUAAAGCUCUUUCGUCGGGGAAGAAAAUGACUGUACCCGAAUAAGAAGGUCCGGCUAACUUCGUGCCAGCAGCCGCGGUAAUACGAAGGGACCUAGCGUAGUUCGGAAUUACUGGGCUUAAAGAGUUCGUAGGUGGUUAAAAAAGUUGGUUGUGAAAUCCCGAAGCUUAACUUCGGAACUGCAAUCAAAACUUUUUAGCUAGAGUAUGAUAGAGGAAAGCAGAAUUUCUAGUGUAGAGGUGAAAUUCGUAGAUAUUAGAAAGAAUACCAAUUGCGAAGGCAGCUUUCUGGAUCAUUACUGACACUGAGGAACGAAAGCAUGGGUAGCGAAGAGGAUUAGAUACCCUCGUAGUCCAUGCCGUAAACGAUGUGUGUUAGACGUUGGAAAUUAAUUUUUAGUGUCGCAGCGAAAGCAAUAAACACACCGCCUGGGGAGUACGACCG
rnacentral:rRNA from 1 species